rnacentral:rRNA from 1 species
GAUGAACGCUGGCGGCGUGCUUAACACAUGCAAGUCGAACGAAACACCUUAUUUGAUUUUCUUCGGAACUGAAGAUUUGGUGAUUGAGUGGCGGACGGGUGAGUAACGCGUGGGUAACCUGCCCUGUACAGGGGGAUAACAGUCAGAAAUGACUGCUAAUACCGCAUAAGACCCCAGCACCGCCUGGUGCAGGGGUAAAAACUCCGGUGGUACAGGAUGGACCCGCGCCUGAUUAGCUGGUUGGUGAGGUAACGGCUCACCAAGGCGACGAUCAGUAGCCGGCGUGAGAGAGGGAACGGCCACAUUGGGACGGAGACAGGGCCCAAACUCCGACGAGAGGCAGCAGUGGGGAAUAGUGCACAAUGGGGGAAACCGUGAUGCAGCGACGCCGCGUGAGGGAAGAAGUAUUGCGGUAUGUAAAGCUCUAUCAGCAGGGGAGAAAGUGACGGGACCUGACUAAGAAGCCCCGGCUAACGACG